rnacentral:rRNA from 1 species
GAACGCUAGCGACAGGCCUAACACAUGCAAGUCGAGGGGCAGCACAAGGAGCAAUCUGAGGUGGCGACCGGCGCACGGGUGAGUAACACGUAUGCAACCUGCCUGUAAGCGGGGAAUAACCCGUUGAAAGACGGACUAAUACCGCAUAAUACUAAAUUACUGCAUGGUAAUUUAUUUAAACAUUUAUGGCUUACAGAUGGGCAUGCGCAUGAUUAGCUAGUUGGAGAGGUAACGGCUCCCCAAGGCAACGAUCAUUAGGGGUUCUGAGAGGAAGGUCCCCCACACUGGUACUGAGACACGGACCAGACUCCUACGGGAGGCAGCAGUGAGGAAUAUUGGUCAAUGGACGAGAGUCUGAACCAGCCAAGUCGCGUGCAGGAAGAAUGUCCUAAUGGAUUGUAAACUGCUUUUGCAGGGGAAUAAAGUGCAUCACGUGUGAUGUUUUGUAUGUACUCUGCGAAUAAGGAUCGGCUAACUCCGUGCCAGCAGCCGC